UGUAGAUAUAAGCAUAUUGUGCUUAAAUUAUUUAAUUAUACCUAUACCCUAAUGAAUUUACUACAAGUCUGCAUAAUAUGUAAAACGCUCUUCGAUUAAUGUAGGUACGGUACAUUGGUACAUGCUACGUACUAUAUAAGAAGGUAAUAUACUUAUUAUUUAAUACACUUUGAAUAAUAUUAUACAAUUGUUUAUUUUUGUUUCUAUUUACAAAUUAGUUGGUUUAGUACACCUUUUUGUUGUUCAAAUGUCAAAUAAUUGUAUUGUAUUUUUGUGUUUUAGAAUUAAAUGUUACGCGUAUUUCGUGUCGACUCCGUUAGUGAAUUUUCAGAAACUAAUCCCGCCGAGAUGGUGAAAUUCACUAUAGACUGUCGAUGCGUGUAAUCCUGUUCAUAACACUUCUACCAAGUAUCAGGUGCAAAACAAGUUGGGGCAACAUUCGGGCUGAGUUACGGUUCACUGUGUUGUUUACGUCGUCGAAGACCGCUGAAUUCUGGCCCAAUAACCUUUUACCUAUGUAGAUUAUUUAAUUUUCUUUAGCCAAACUAAUAAUUUAAAAUAAGCAUGACGACAAACCGUAUCAUUGGCAAAGCAUAAUUGUAUAAGCUUAAUAAAAAAAUCACAUUAUGGGGAGACAAAUCAGCCAACGUUUCCACAGUGUCUCCUGCAAAGUAUCGAGCUAAUAGGCUGAUAUGAAGUGCUAAUUAUUAUGUGGCCACAAGUCACAAUUUCUUUCAUAAAUCCACAGGAAGCAGCUAUAGUGAAUAAUUGCUUGAUUUAGGGAUUGGGCAGAAAUUCGCUAACACUGGAUUAAGAUAUGUUUUAUUGGCAUUGCAAGCUCAAGUUUCAUAUUUAAAAUGUAGAUAAUGUGUAAUGUAUUAUAAUAAGUUGGUAAAUGUUGCUAAUUGUUUCUAUUAGUUAUUGUUAUUUUUAAUACAAUCAAUUUUUUUAUGCUUAAUACAUUUGUGUUAUCAUUUUUUAAAAUUUUUAUUAUUGAUCUUAAGCAUCGGUAACUAUGGCGAUUAGCAUUGUUGUAGAAGUUGUAUGGUUGGUUGAGGAACAUGCCGAGGAACAUGUGUAUAUGUGGUGAAAAUUUGUCACUACAGACUCGGAUGGUCACCCAUCGGUGAACUAGAGACACCGGCCGAUGUUUGACCUCAGAACACGAUAGUGACUGAGACCAACCAUCAAGCCUCACCAGGCCCCGUCAUUUUUUUAUUUUUUCAUUAAUUAUACAUUUUGUACCUAUUAAUAUUGAAAUAGCUAGGUACUACAGUACU